UACAGAGGGUGCAAGCGUUAAUCGGAAUUACUGGGCGUAAAGCGUGCGCAGGCGGUUUUGUAAGUCUGACGUGAAAGCCCCGGGCUCAACCUGGGAAUUGCGUUGGAGACUGCAAGGCUUGAAUCUGGCAGAGGGGGGUAGAAUUCCACGUGUAGCAGUGAAAUGCGUAGAGAUGUGGAGGAACACCGAUGGCGAAGGCAGCCCCCUGGGUCAAGAUUGACGCUCAUGCACGAAAGCGUGGGGAGCAAACAGG
rnacentral:rRNA from 1 species